GCUUAUGGCCAUACCACCCUGAGAACGCCCGAUCUCGUCUGAUCUCGGAAGCUAAGCAGGGUCGGGUCUGGUUAGUACUUGGAUGGGAUUCCGCCUGGGAAUACCAGGUGCUGUAAGCU
rnacentral:rRNA from 1 species